rnacentral:rRNA from 1 species
GACGAACGCUGGCGGCGUGCUUAACACAUGCAAGUCGAACGAUGAAGCCGGAGCUUGCUCCGGUGGAUUAGUGGCGAACGGGUGAGUAACACGUGAGCAAUCUGCCCUUGACUCUGGGAUAACUGCGGGAAACUGUAGCUAAUACCGGAUACGACACCUUGGGGCAUCCCAGGGUAUGGAAAGAAUUUCGGUCAAGGAUGAGCUCGCGGCCUAUCAGCUAGUUGGUGAGGUAAUGGCUCACCAAGGCGACGACGGGUAGCCGGCCUGAGAGGGUGACAGGCCACACUGGAACUAAGACACGGUCCAGACUCCUACGGGAGGCAGCAGUGGGGAAUAUUGCACAAUGGGCGAAAGCCUGAUGCAGCAACGCCGCGUGAGGGAUGAAGGCCUUCGGGUUGUAAACCUCUUUUAGCAGGGAAGAAGCGAAAGUGACGGUACCUGCAGAAAAAGCACCGGCUAACUACGUGCCAGCCGCCGCAGUAA